rnacentral:rRNA from 1 species
AAAUUGAAGAGUUUGAUCAUGGCUCAGAUUGAACGCUGGCGGCAGGCCUAACACAUGCAAGUCGAACGGUAGCACAGAGAGCUUGCUCUCGGGUGACGAGUGGCGGACGGGUGAGUAACGUCUGGGAAACUGCCCGAUGGAGGGGGAUAACUACUGGAAACGGUAGCUAAUACCGCAUAACGUCGCAAGACCAAAGUGGGGGACCUUCGGGCCUCACACCAUCGGAUGUGCCCAGAUGGGAUUAGCUAGUAGGUGGGGUAAUGGCUCACCUAGGCGACGAUCCCUAGCUGGUCUGAGAGGAUGACCAGCCACACUGGAACUGAGACACGGUCCAGACUCCUACGGGAGGCAGCAGUGGGGAAUAUUGCACAAUGGGCGCAAGCCUGAUGCAGCCAUGCCGCGUGUAUGAAGAAGGCCUUCGGGUUGUAAAGUACUUUCAGCGGGGAGGAAGGCGGUG